rnacentral:lncRNA from 1 species
UCAGGCCUGUCGUCCAGGACUUAAGAGUUGGCUCCAGGCGGCAACGGGGAUGCAGAAGCGAGCGAGCCUGCGAGAGCACCAAGGCUAGCCUCCGAGGCGAACCCCAGAAACGCCAGGACGGGUAACUUGCCCCUUUGCGCUUCCCUGCUCGGCCCACUCAGGUUGCGGCUGGGAAUGACCCUCGCCGCCCGCCGUUCUUCUUCCGGAAGUAGUUGGCCGUUACCAUAGCGACUGCAGGCGUCCGGAGCGCUGAGCAGAGGUGCAGUGGCUCAUGCCUGUAAUCCCAGCACUUUGGGAGGCCGAGGCAGGCGGAUCACAAGGUCAGGAGUUCGACACGAGACCAGCCUGCCCAACAUGGUAAAACCCCAUCUCUCCUGAAAAUACAAAAAUAGCCUGGCGUGGUGGUGUGCACCUGUAAUCCCAGCUACUCAGGAGGCUGAGGCAGGAGAACUGCUUGAACCCUGGAGGCAAAGGUUGCAGCGAACAGAGAUCGGGCCACUGUUAUCCAGCCUGGGUGACAGAGUGAGACUCCGUCUCAAAAAAUAAAUAAAUAAAAUAAGUGUUUCCUUUUAAUGCUAC